UUCUUUAUUUCUGUGGAGAGACUGUAGGUCGACAAUGGUGUUCAAGUCGUCGAAUGAAAGAUGCUCGUUUUACCGUUUUCCGUCCGAUGUUACCCAGCGGAGACUCUGGGUUCGUGCCGUAAGACGAGCUGACCGGAAGCCCAGUGUCCAUUCUCGCAUCUGCAGCUGUCAUUUUCCUGCAGGGGAAAAAAAAUGCCCCUGUUUUGUUUUUAGUUACCAAACAGUAAGUUGUUUUCAGUUUACUUAUUUUAUGAAAAUAAAGAUGUUUACUACAACACUUGCUGUAAGGUUUCUGUGGCUCAAUGAUUAGAGCAUUUUGUUAACUGUGACAAAACUGACAAAUACCAAAAAUUAAAUGUUAAACCAGUGCUUCCCAAACCUGUCCUGGAGGACCCCCUGCCCUGUGUGAUCCCCCUCCCUUGUCAUUUUAAUCUGUAAAGGUGUUACUUCCAUAAAACUAACAUUGCUUAUUUUGAAUUUAUCCUUAGACGAGCUGACCGGAAGCCCAGUGUCCAUUCUCACAUCUGCAGCUGUCAUUUUCCUGCAGGGGAAAAAAUGCCCCUGUUUUGUUUUUAGUUACCAAACAGAAGUUGUUUUCAGUUUACUUAUUUUAUGAAAAUAAAGAUGUUUACUACAACUCUUGCUGUAAGGUUUUUGUGGCUCAAUGAUUAGAGCAUUUUGUUAACUGUGCAAAACGUUGCAAGUUCAAUUCCCAGAGAACUUGCUGAUAUGUAUAGCCUGAAUACACUGUAAGUCGUCUGUCUGACAAAUAACAAAAAUUAAAUGUUAAACCAGUGCUUCCCAAACCUGUCCUGGAGGACCCCCUGCCCUGCUACCUUUUGUAUGUCUUCCUUAUCUAACACACCUGACUUCCACUCAUCAGACUAAAAGCAUUUUUGUUUAACUGUGCAAAACGUUGCAAGUUCAAUUCCCAGAGAACUUGCUGAUAUGUAUAGCCUGAAUACACUGUAAGUCGUCUGUCUGACAAAUAAACAAAAAUUAAAUAGUUAAACCAGUGCUUCCCAAACCUGUCCUGGAGGACCCCCUGCCCUGCACCUUUUGUAUGUCUUCCUUAUCUAACACACCUGAUUCCACUCAUCAGACUAAAUUGGGUGUGUCUGAUUAGGGAGACAUACAAAAUGUGCAGAGCAGGCAGUCCUCCAGGACAGGUUUGGGAACCACUGUGUUAAACUAUUCUAACUACACUCCAGUCAACUCACAGUAAUGUGAAUGUGAGAUAAAAUUUACUACACUGGCUCUCACAUUGGGGCUUGUGGAUUACCAGGUAAAAAUAUAUAGAAAAUGUGAACAAAAUGAGUAUAUAUGGUUUAAUUAUAAUAUAU
rnacentral:lncRNA from 1 species